UUGGGCCUAAAGCGUCCGUAGCCGGCCGAACAGGUCCGUCGGGAAAUCCACCCGCUCAACGGGUGGACGUCCGGCGGAAACCAGUCGGCUUGGGGCCGGGAGACCAGAGAGGUACGUCCGGGGUAGGAGUGAAAUCCUGUAAUCCUGGACGGACCACCGGUAGCGAAAGCGUCUCUGGAGAACGGACCCGACGGUGAGGGACGAAAGCUUGGGUCUCGAACCGGAUUAGAUACCCGGGUAGUCCUAGCCGUAAACGAUGCUCGCUGGGUGCGGCGCAGGCUACGAGCUUGCGCUGUGCCGUAGGGAAGCCGAGAAGCGAGCCGCCUGGGAAGUACGUCCGCAAGGAUGAAACUUAAAGGAAUUGGCGGGGGAGCAC
rnacentral:rRNA from 1 species